AACGGGGGUUGGGUGGGGGGUCCAACCCGGUGGGUCUGGGGUCCCACAAAGGCUCCAUCACCUCCUGCUGCCGGCUUCCCUUCCGUCUGUCGCUGUGCAAACCCAAGGCAAACGAAGGCGAGUGCCGAUUUUUGGGGUUUUUUUUGGUCGCUCACUCGACGGUGCCGGUGUCGGGUUUUUUUUGGGUUUUUUUUCCUGAUCCGGUGUCGUUUGCUCGGUGCCGGUGUUGUUUUGCUCGGUGCCAGUGUCGUUUGCUCAGUGCCGGUGUCAUUUGCUUGGUACCGGUGUUGUCGGUACCGGUGUUGUUUGCACGGUGCCGGUGUCAUUUUCUCAGUGCCGGUGUCGUUUUGCUCGUUACCGGUGUUGUUGGUGCUGGUGUCGUUUGAUUGGUGCCGAUGUUGUUUGCUUGGUGCUGGUGUCGUUUGCUCAGUGCCGGUGUCGUUUGCUCGGUACCGGUGUUGUCAGUGCCGGUGUCAUUUGCUCGGUGCCGGUGUCGUUUGCUCGGUACCGGUGUUGUCGGUACCGGUGUCAUUUGCUCGGUGCCGAUGUCGUUUGCUCGGUGCCGGUAUCAUUUACUCGGUGCCGGUGUUGUCGGUACCGGUGUUGUUUGCUCGGUGCCGGUGUUGUUGGUACUGGUGUCGUUUGCUCGAUGCCGGUGCCGUUUGCUCAGUACCGGUGUUGUUUGCACGGUGCCGGUGUUGUUGGUGCCGGUGUCGUUUGCUCAGUGCCGGUGUCGUUUGCUCGGUGCCGCUGUCGUUUGCACAGUGCCGGUGUUGUUGGUGCCGGUGUCGUUUGCUCGGUGCCAGUGUUGUUGGUACCGGUGUCGUUUGCUCGGUACCGGUGUCAUUUGCUCAGUGCCAGUGUCGUUUUGCUCGGUGCCGGUGUUGUUGGUACCAGUGUUGUCAGUACCGGUGUCGUUUGCUCGGUGCCGGUGUCGUUUGCUCGGUGCUGCUGUCGUUUGCUCAGUGCCGGUGUCAUUUGCUCGGUGCCG
rnacentral:lncRNA from 1 species